rnacentral:tRNA from 1 species
CGGACUGGAAAUCUGAAGGCUCCGGGUUCGACUCCCG